UCCUAAGGCUAAAUACUCUCUAGUGACCGAUAGUGAACCAGUACCGUGAGGGAAAGGUGAAAAGUACCCCGGAAGGGGAGUGAAAGAGAACUUGAAACCGUGUGCUUACAAGUAGUCAGAGCCCGUUAAUGGGUGAUGGCGUGCCUUUUGUAGAAUGAACCGGCGAGUUACGAUCUGAUGCAAGGUUAAGCAGAAAAUGUGGAGCCGUAGCGAAAGCGAGUCUGAAUAGGGCGAAUGAGUAUUUGGUCGUAGACCCGAAACCAGGUGAUCUACCCUUGGUCAGGUUGAAGUUCAGGUAACACUGAAUGGAGGACCGAACCGACUUACGUUGAAAAGUGAGCGGAUGAACUGAGGGUAGCGGAGAAAUUCCAAUCGAACUUGGAGAUAGCUGGUUCUCUCCGAAAUAGCUUUAGGGCUAGCCUCAAGUGAUGAUUAUUGGAGGUAGAGCACUGUUUGGACGAGGGGCCCCUCUCGGGUUACCGAAUUCAGACAAACUCCGAAUGCCAAAUAAUUUAACUUGGGAGUCAGAAUGUGGGUGAUAAGGUCCAUAUUCGAAAGGGAAACAGCCCAGACCACCAGCUAAGGUCCCAAAAUAUAUGUUAAGUGGAAAAGGAUGUGGCGUUGCCCAGACAACUAGGAUGUUGGCUUAGAAGCAGCCAUCAUUUAAAGAGUGCGUAAUAGCUCACUAGUCGAGUGACACUGCGCCGAAAAUGUACCGGGGCUAAACAUAU
rnacentral:rRNA from 1 species